ACCAGACCAGACUAGACCAGACCAUACCAUAGUAAGAAAAAGACAUUCAUAUUCAAGUGUUUCAUAUAUAUCUAGCACUUCUGUAGUGUUUCUGAUCCACUGUUUCUGCACAGAAACAGGCCCCACAGACACAGAGCUCUACCUGUAAUCCAACAUGCUUUUUCUUCCAAGAAGUGAGCAGACACCACCACACAGAGAUGAAUGAUGAAAUAAUUUUGGCCCCAGGUCAACCGCUGCCAGCUGGAUGGCUGGGGCAAUGUAGUUAAGCUCUUUGAACCUCGUGUUUUCUUCCAUGUUUUGAAACUUUGGAUGACAUUUUUGCAUUACUAUGAGAAUAUAUAACAAAGUGAACCAUUUAAGUAAGCAUGUAGCCAAUAGCUGGUGGGACUAAUGUUGUGUCCUGUUUAGCCAUCAUUAUCUUAGGAAAGAAACUAUGAGACUCUCAUCCAUUUCUUCCCUGCAACAGGGCAAGGAAAACAAGACUGAUCUCAGUACAGUGCUCAGGGUUCCAGCCUCGGGAUCCUGGGAAACCAGUUCAAGAAUUGGGAGUAGCACAAUUAUCAGUGACUGAGACACAGAAAUAUGGAAAUGGAGCUAUUUCACAGCCCUGUGGUUGCCUGAGCUUAUAUGCCGACAUGAAGAAAUACUAUGGGAUUUGCCUGUCAAGUGUGAGUCAGGCACAGUCACGUGGAGAGCUUGGAUAGAAUCACUAUCGUCUCUGUCUACAGGAUGAGUGGAGAGGUGGAAGGAGAUAAAGACACCUUCAAACAAGGAGUGAACUUUGUACAUCGAGAUGAGAAAGCCUGGGACGGGUGGCGGACAGUAGAGAAUGAAGACAAAGAGGACCAUUUAGGAGUUCCAGUCACUAAGGUAAGAAACUUAUUCUUCCCUCUUCACUGGGUCAUUUUAGCAAAAGUGCAUGUUAAUCUUGGAGCUCAAAUGGUCACAAAACCUAUGUAUUUGAUACCUAGUUAGGACAGCAGUGAUUGUAUGUAGCAUGUGGUUUGUGGGAACUAUCGCCCUUGUGAGGUGAACACUGCCAUAAUAUUGAAAAAUAAAUGCAACAAUGGAUGAUCCAAGCUUCAGUUUAAUGAGUAAAUUAAUAAGCCAAGGAAAACAGGAGUAAGAAAGCCCCAAUAGUAGAAGCAAAGGCUGUAAAGAUGGAGACCAAAGCAAG
rnacentral:sRNA from 1 species